GAUGUGGAUGAGUGUUUGUCCUCAGUGUGUGGAGUUCACAGCAGUUGCACUAACACACCUGGCAGUUUCUUCUGCAUCUGUUCUCCAGGGUUUCACAGACAUGAGAACAACACCUGUACAGACAUCAAUGAGAGUCCAGAUCCAGAUGUUUGUGGCAGAAACGCACAGGGCUUCAAUCAUUCAGGCGGCUACAGCUGCAAAUAUGCCACGAGGGUUACAGUAAUUAUAGCAACAAUUAUGGCAAACAGUAUUUAGUGCAUGUUUGCAUUACGAGUUGCACUGCUGAAGCUGCUAAUGCACUCCAAAAAAUGAUUCGGUCUAAAUUUACAUUUUGUGUAAUUCAAUUGCAUACCAAUUUUCCAUCCAUUUAGAUUACAUAGUUUUAACAUAAACAAACCAAUAAACUUAAUGUGAUUCAUAUCCAUCAGUCAUACGUGAAUGAAACAGGUAAGAUUUAUGUAAUAAUUCACAGCAAAGUCCCCACACUGCUCAGUGUUCAAGUGUUUCCACACUACAGAGUGUUCAAGUAGAAUUGAAGCAGUGUUGAGUUAAGAAGAUAAUUAUGUGAUGAUUGAUCAUUAAUGAUGAACAGUAUGGAAUUAGAUUUGUGCCAAAUAAAAUGAAUGUAAUUUUUCAAGAAACGUAUGAAAAUAUAAAUUGAAACUGAAUAAAAUGUCUUUGAAACUAAAAAAUAAAUAAAUUACAGGCAAAAUCUUUGA